UUUUUACCUUGCAUAAAGUUAGUAAGUAUCCAAGUCUGUUCUUUUCUUGAUUUAGUCUGAGCCUUUGAGUUUUUAUGAUUUUCCACCUUGACCACCUCUCCAGGAUUUCCCUCCCCAAAACCCCUGGCCCAUGCUUUCACUCAGGGUCAGAGGUUUUGGCUAUGGAUGAGAUCUUUCAGGUUCCUUUUCUUCUUCUGGUCUAAUUCUACAGCUGGGAGACAGCAGUGGCACUGAGUAGAGACUGUUCGUUAAGUAAGGAGCUAAGAGUGGGACACGUCCAGUAUUCAAUUUGUAUAGUAAUAAUACAUCAAGGAGAGAAUCACUCACACGUGGGAGGAAGACCUCCCAGAGGGCAGGGCUUCUCAGGUAUUUAUGAUUUCAGGACUUAGAAACAUGAAACACCGUGAGCAAAGUCAGGGGUGUCUAAUAUCACGGACCAGGACUUUCUGCUUCCUCUUAAGUCUUCUCAGAGAUCCAGAACCUGUCUCCUUAACUUUUCUUCUGACCCACACCCAAUUCAAGGCUCUUCUUCUGUGAAACACCUGAGCCAUCUUUAAGUCUCUUUUAAGGGGUUGGAUCAUGCCAGAGGAAGUGUCUCUCUGGCCACGCUACGUGGUCAGACCCAGCAGCUGAGGAGCAACAAGGACAAGCUCUUGCACUGGAAAGAUCCUAAACUGGUGGUGUCUGGACAGCUUCAGGAAAGCAAGACAAGAACUGAUUCGGAAAUAGCCAGUGCAUCCAGGCUGUAUGUUUUAAUUCGAUUUUCAGAGAUGAGAUAUGUUUGGACUUAAGGUUUAUUUAAUAAAUGUCCUAUCGUAAUGUUUCUUCUAGAAGCCUCCUUCCUGUGGUUUC
rnacentral:lncRNA from 1 species